rnacentral:rRNA from 1 species
CGGGACGGGGUGGAGUAAUGUCUGGGAAACUGCCUGAUGGAGGGGGGUAACUACUGGAAACGGUAGCUAAUACCGCAUAACGUCGCAAGACCAAAGAGGGGGACCUUCGGGCCUCUUGCCAUCGGAUGUGCCCAGAUGGGAUUAGCUAGUAGGUGGGGUAACGGCUCACCUAGGCGACGAUCCCUAGCUGGUCUGAGAGGAUGUCCAGCCACACUGGAACUGAGACACGGUCCAG